CCUACGGGUGGCAGCAGUGAGGAAUAUUGGUCAAUGGGCGCUAGCCUGAACCAGCCAAGUAGCGUGAAGGAUGACUGCCCUAUGGGUUGUAAACUUCUUUUAUCUGGGAAUAAAGUGCAGUAUGUAUACUGCUUUGCAUGUACCUUAUGAAUAAGGAUCGGCUAACUCCGUGCCAGCAGCCGCGGUAAUACGGAGGAUCCGGGCGUUAUCCGGAUUUAUUGGGUUUAAAGGGUGCGUAGGCGGGUUGUUAAGUCAGUUGUGAAAGUUUGCGGCUCAACCGUAAAAUUGCCGUUGAUACUGGCAGCCUUGAGUACAGGAGAGGUAGGCGGAAUGCGUGGUGUAGCGGUGAAAUGCUUAGAUAGCGCGCAGAACUCCGAUUGCGAAGGCAGCCUGCUGGACUGUAACUGACGCUGAGGCACGAAAGUGUGGGUAUCGAACAGGAUUAGAUACCCUUGUAGUC
rnacentral:rRNA from 1 species